CCGUUCACUCUUCAGCUCAAUUG
rnacentral:miRNA from 1 species